rnacentral:misc_RNA from 1 species
CAUAAAUAUAACUUGUUUUUUACUCAUAUUUCACUUAUUAUUAUACAGCAAAUUCCUGCUGGAUUACACAAUAUAGUAAAUAUAAUAAUAUUUUUGUUUCCACACAAAAAGUGUUUUUCCAGAUAAUUAUAUUCUGCAUUUAUGUAUAUAUCUAUAUACAAUAGAUAGUUUUUUUUUUUCUGCUCUGCAAACUCUCUUCAGUAUUACUAGAAGCAAACUCUUUUUUUCUAAUCAACUUUUUUUUUCUUCCUUUAUAAUGGUAUAUUGUCCAUUCUCUGCUUGUAAUACAAGAACAUUCAUUUAGUUCUUGUUCUCUUCAAAAAUGUCUAGAAGAGAAAUAGCCUCUGGAACAUUUAGCUCAAGGCGGAAUUUAGGGCCAUCGUAAUGGUGAAGGACUGGCCUGAAUGAAUCCUCUUCAAGUGGUUCACAGACUUUCCUUGUCACGACACGAACCUGAGCAGGAAAGCGAGAUUCACCAGGGUUCUUCUUGUCCUCCCAGGCCGAUGGAUCAAUAUUUGACCCACCAAAGCUUGCAGCCUCAAAAACUCCGUGAAGCUGAUGGGUUGAGUAGUUGUACAGAAAGAGAGGCAAUCCAGGUGUUAUUUGCCUAACCGAGUCCCUGUAACGUGGUGGCAAGCCAAAGAGCUCCCUUUUGAGAUUCUCAGCCAUGGUAUCAUUGUUGCAAACAAAAAUAUAUCCACCAACAGUUUCAUUUUUUGGUAAAGAUUCUGAUGCUGGCAAAGUCUUGAACUUUUUAUUCUCACUACUGCUAUUAUUAGCACCCAAAUCCUUAUUACUCUCUCUAUUAAUCUUGUUAUUUUUCUUUCCAAAUUUAUUCACAAAUCCGUAAUCAUCCUCAAAAACACCAUUUUUCCCAUUUCUCUUGUUGUUAUUAACCCCUUUUGAGUUCACCAUAAUAUUGCUAAAAUUCAUAGGGUUUGUGUAAACCCCUUUAUUAAAUCCACCAUUUAAACCAACCCCACCACCACCUUUCACGGCUGAGCCACCACCAGCUGCCGCUGCCGCCGCCGUCAUGUCAGCAAUCUUCCAACCAUCAUUACUAAAAAGAUUGUAAUCUGAAUUCAAAUUUUUUGAUGGAUUUAAAGAAGUAACAGAGUUAAUCAUACCACCUACUCUGAUAUCAAAGUUUCUCCUUUCUUCAGGCCUUUUAGAUACAUAAUUGUUACUCCAAAUUGAAUCAUUUGAAGACAAAUUUACUAAGUUGUUUGUCUGUAAACGAAGAUUAUCACUGAAUUGGUAGAAAGAUGACUGAUUGUUCUCCAUUUUUUCCUCUUUUGCUAAACCCUAGAUGAUUUUUUUUUCUACAAAGAUUGAAUCUUGGCCUAAAACAACAACAGAAAAGGCUAUUUCAGUAUACCCCAGACGAUAAUUUCUCUGUAAAGAUUCAAUUUUGGACUCAAACAACAAUGGAAAAGGCUAUUUUACUUAACCCCAGAUGAUAAUUUCUCUGUAAAGAUUCAAUUUUGGACUCAAACAACAAUGGAAAAGGCUAUUUUACUUAACCCCAGAUGAUAAUUUCUCUGUAAAGAUUCAAUUUUGGACUCAAACAACAAUGGAUAAGGCUAUUUUACUAAACCCCAGAUGAUAAUUUGUCUCAAAGGAUUCAAUUUUGGACUAAAAGAGUGAAAUUUACAGAUGAACAAGGCUCAAAG